rnacentral:rRNA from 1 species
GAUAGGGCGGAGGUGUAAGGCUGGCAACAGUCUCAGCUGACCGAUACUAACGGACGAACGCUUGACCAC